UACGUAGGGGGCAAGCGUUGCCCGGAUUUAUUGGGCGUAAAGAGCGUGUAGGCGGCCAGGUAGGUCAGCUGUGAAAACUCGAGGCUCAACCUCGAGACGCCGGUUGAAACCAUCUGGCUAGAGUCCGGAAGAGGAGAGUGGAAUUCCUGGUGUAGCGGUGAAAUGCGCAGAUAUCAGGAGGAACACCCAUGCGAAGGCAGCUCGCUGGGACGUUACUGACGCUGAGACGCGAAAGCGUGGGGAGCAAACAGG
rnacentral:rRNA from 1 species